UCCGCUGAGGAUGGCUUGUCCUCGGUGUAAUUAGCCGGGGGAAUAAGGAGAGGGCAAGACUGGUGUCAGCCGCCGCGGUAAUACCAGUUCUCCGAGUGGUAGGGACGAUUAUUGGGCUUAAAGCGUCCGUAGCCGGCUUAGCAAGUCUCCUGUUAAAUUCAGCGACCUAAUCGUUGAGCCGCGGGAGAUACUACUAGGCUAGGAGGCGGGAGAGGUCGACGGUACUUUCGGGGUAGGGGUGAAAUCCUAUAAUCCCGGGAGGACCACCAGUGGCGAAGGCUGUCGA
rnacentral:rRNA from 1 species